rnacentral:rRNA from 1 species
AUUGAACGCUGGCGGCAGGCCUAACACAUGCAAGUCGAGCGGCGCGCCGGACGGGCGAGUAUUGCCUAGGAAUCUGCCUGGUAGUGGGGGAUAACGUCAGGCAACGGGCGCUCAUACUGCCCACUAUCAGAUGAGCAUAGGUCGGAUUAGCUAGUUGGUGUGGUAAAGGCCUACACAGGCGACGAUCCGUAGCUGGUCUGAGAGGAUGAUCAGUCACACUUGAACUGAGAAACGGUCCAGACUCCUACGGGAGGCAGCAGUGGGGAAUAUUGGAUAAUGGGCGAAAGCCGGAGGCAGCCAUGCCGCGUGUGUGAAGAAGGGCUUAGGUUUGUAAAGCACUUUAAGUUGGGAGGCGUUACCACCAGAAGAAGCACCGGCUAACUUCGUGCCAGCAGCCGCGGUAAUAC